rnacentral:rRNA from 1 species
AUAGCGUAUAUUAAAGUUGUUGCAGUUAAAAAGCUCGUAGUUGAACUUCAGAUUUGGUCGGGUGGUCCGCUUAACGGCGUGUUACUGCUUGGCUGGGUCUUGUCUCUUGGUGAACCAUUGUGCCCUUUAUUGGUGUGCUUUGGGGAACCAGGACUUUUACCUUGAGAAAAUUAGAGUGUUCAAAGCAGGCCUAUGCCCGAAUACAUUAGCAUGGAAUAAUAAAAUAGGACGUGCGGUUCUAUUUUGUUGGUUUCUAGAGUCGCCGUAAUGAUUAAUAGGGAUAGUUGGGGGCAUUGGUAUUGAGUCGCUAGAGGUGAAAUUCUUGGAUUGACUCAAGACCAACUACUG